rnacentral:rRNA from 1 species
UACGGAGGGGGCUAGCGUUGUUCGGAAUUACUGGGCGUAAAGCGCACGUAGGCGGCUUUGUAAGUUAGAGGUAAAAGCCCGGGGCUCAACUCCGGAAUUGCCUUUAAGACUGCAUCGCUAGAAUUGUGGAGAGGUAAGUGGAAUUCCGAGUGUAGAGGUGAAAUUCGUAGAUAUUCGGAAGAACACCAGUGGCGAAGGCGGCCAACUGGUCCGAUACUGACGCUGAGGCGCGAAAGCGUGGGGAGCAAACAGG